GCUAAUACCGGAUAAGAAAGCAGAUCGCAUGAUCAGCUUUUAAAAGGCGGCGUAAAGCUGUCGCUAUGGGGAUGGGCCCCGCGGUGCAUUAGCUAGUUGGUAAGGUAAAGGCUUACCAAGGGCGAUGAUGCAUAGCCCGAGUUGAGAGACUGAUCGGGCCACAUUGGGGACUGAGACACGGGCCCAAACUCCUACGGGGAGGCAGCAGUAGGGAAUCUUCCACAAUGGACGCAAGUCUGAUGGAGCAAACGCCGCGUGAGUGAAGAAGGUUUUCGGAUCGUAAAGCUCUGUUGUUGGUGAAGAAGGAUAGAGGUAGUAACUGGCCCUUUAUUUGACGGUAAUCAACCAGAAAGUCACGGGCUAACUACGUGCCCAGCAGCCGCGGUAAAAU
rnacentral:rRNA from 1 species